CCUACGGGAGGCAGCAGUGGGGAAUAUUGGACAAUGGGGGGAACCCUGAUCCAGCGACGCCGCGUGAGUGAAGAAGGCUUUCGGUAUGUAAACCUCUAUUCGCAGGGACGAAAGAAGUGACGGUACCUGACUACUAAGCCCCGGCUAACUACGUGCCAGCAGCCGCGGUAAUACGUAGGGGGCAAGCGUUAUCCGGAUUUAUUGGGUGUAAAGGGUGCGUAGACGGCGAUGCAAGUCUGAAGUGAAAGGUGGGGGCCCAACCCCCGGACUGCUGUGGAACCUGGAAGGCUGGAGUGGAGGAGAGGUAAGUGGAAUUCGUAGUGUAGCGGUGAAAUGCGUAGAUAUCAGGAGGAACACCAGUGGCGAAGGCGGCUUACUGGACUGUAACUGACGUUGAGGCUCGAAAGCGUGGGGAGCGAACAGGAUUAGAUACCCGAGUAGUC
rnacentral:rRNA from 1 species